CCUACGGGGGGCUGCAGUGGGGAAUAUUGCACAAUGGGCGCAAGCCUGAUGCAGCCAUGCCGCGUGUGUGAAGAAGGCCUUCGGGCUGUAAAGCACUUUCAGCGGGGAGGAAGGCGGUGAGGUUAAUAACCUCAUCGAUUGACGUUACCCGCAGAAGAAGCACCGGCUAACUCCGUGCCAGCAGCCGCGGUAAUACGGAGGGUGCAAGCGUUAAUCGGAAUUACUGGGCGUAAAGCGCACGCAGGCGGUCUGUCAAGUCGGAUGUGAAAUCCCCGGGCUCAACCUGGGAACUGCAUUCGAAACUGGCAGGCUAGAGUCUUGUAGAGGGGGGUAGAAUUCCAGGUGUAGCGGUGAAAUGCGUAGAGAUCUGGAGGAAUACCGGUGGCGAAGGCGGCCCCCUGGACAAAGACUGACGCUCAGGUGCGAAAGCGUGGGGAGCAAACAGGAUUAGAUACCCCAGUAGUC
rnacentral:rRNA from 1 species